rnacentral:rRNA from 1 species
UACGUAGGUGGCGAGCGUUGUCCGGAUUUACUGGGCGUAAAGGGAGCGUAGGCGGACUUUUAAGUGAGAUGUGAAAUACUCGGGCUCAACUUGAGUGCUGCAUUUCAAACUGGAAGUCUAGAGUGCAGGAGAGGAGAAUGGAAUUCCUAGUGUAGCGGUGAAAUGCGUAGAGAUUAGGAAGAACACCAGUGGCGAAGGCGAUUCUCUGGACUGUGACUGACGCUGAGGCUCGAAAGCGUGGGGGGCAAACAGG